GUAUUGGGUAUAGCAUCAGGUUUUAUUUCAUAUUUGGUGUCUGAUUCGGUUUCCGGUUCAGCAUUUGGGUUUGAUUGGGGUUCGAGUUCAGCUUUGGGGUUCUGUUCUGCUCCUCCGGAAGGGAAAGGGAAAAGAUUCAGUAGCAGUUGUUAGUGUGUAACAGACUGUGUAAAGCUGAUUAAGUGUACAAGGUGAUUUCUAAUAAAGUAUAAGUGUUGUUUGUAGUUGUUUUGUCUCUUUAAUUUAUCUUCUGCAGUACUAUUGUUGUGUCAUCUUUGCACUAACACUACAGACUGAUAUUGAUUCUUUUCUUGACCAGAGAAGGUUAAGUCUGGACACACUUCAUUCUCCUGGUCAUCUUUUUAUGCUCACUGCCGUCUCUCAUCUUCAAAAUCUUUUGGUGAGCUUUAAAUACAGAUGAUGCAUGGACUUGAGAUACAGAGAUUGACCGUUGUUAUCCUCUUUUGAUGGCUUAGAAAUGACCAAAUCAUCAGCCUUACCCUCAAUACAAGUAGCUGGAACAAUUUGAUCUAUGGUGUCCAGAAUGAUUUUGCCAAAAACAAAUAUAAUUUCACAUGAACCCCCUUCACCAGUAAGGAAUCUUAUAACAUAAAGUAAAAGGUUAUUCUCUUUUCCUCUUGCCAUCUCAUCAAAUAGGGCAAGGAGGAAGCUACACCUGUCCC
rnacentral:lncRNA from 1 species